rnacentral:miRNA from 1 species
GGUUGGUGCAAAAGUAAUUGCGGUUUUUGCCAUUGAAAAUAAUGGCAAAAACUGCAGUUACUUUUGUACUAACG